rnacentral:lncRNA from 1 species
UGUUUCUUUGUGCUGUGUUUACUACUGGAAUUAAAAAAAGUGAAAAGAAAGAUGAUUAAUUGAGAUUCAAGCUUAUCCUAUUAUGAAUAAUUACAUUUUACAGUUAGAAGAAUAUCACAAUCACAAUCACAAUCAAUUCUUCUAUCUUACUUGAAUCUUAUACGUGUUUUGAAAGGGAAUUUGUUACUGUUUUGUGGCAAUGAAGCAUAAGAAGGAAAUCUGUAGAGACAGUUCAUAUCCUAUCAUUUAUAUUUUACCAAACAAUUUGCCUUGAUGGAGGGUACAUCGUCUAGAAAUGAAUAAGCAGAUGUGGAAUGUGUAGACAAUGGAGAUUUCGUAUUUGAGAAGCCCUUUUUAUAUAAUCCCAAUGUUAAAUCCUUGCCUAUUUAAUUGUAUUCCUAAUAUUUCUAUGGCAAGUUUGGAAGGAAUUGGUUGUUGUUAGAUUGGCUACUUCUUUAAGAAUGCAUAUCCGUUCGACAAUUACCAUACAUGUAUAUUUAACAUUCAGCAACUAACAUGUAACGCACGUUUUCCUCACUAGUCCCACUAAAAAAAUCGUAAUUUUUGUGCGUUUUUCAUUAUUAAAGUAAUCACUACUUUAUGUACACGUAUAUAAGUUUUUUCUUCAUAAAAUUGCAUAUAUUUUGUCAAGUUGGAAAUUAAUUUAAUCAUGCAACGGCCUAUUUUCAACAUGUUUGGCAGUUUUCAAUGUUUUAAUGAGUUAAUUUCAAUUCAUUAUCACCACCCACCUGCAUUGGCAGCCCAUGUGUGGUCAUUUUAGCAUUCCUUUUUCUGUUUUUUACUUAUUGUUCGUCAAUGUUGGUUGGGGAUUCUUUUUAAAUAUCUUAUUUCUUAAUGUCUCCUAUUUAUUUUUAUUUUUUUUAGGAAAUGCAGAUAUUCUGAUUAAUUAAUUUAAUUUGUCGAUUUGCUUAAUCUAGCGAAGAUUCAUAAUGUAGAACCAGCGUAUUGGCAGGUUUGACUAGGCCUGGGCAAAAAAACCGCCAAACCACCCAAACAGCCAAACCAAACCGAGUUCGGUUUAGAGUAGUCAAAUGGUUUGGUUUGGUUUUUUGUAGACAAAAUCACGGUGGUUUGGUUUGGUUCAUGGUUUGAAUACCAAAACCGAUGGUUAACCGCCCAACCCGUUACAUAUUGAAACAUUUAAAAAAAAAAAAAAAAGAAAGAAAGAAAGAAAGGGGACUCAUAGACGAAGUAGGACUGUAGGAGUCAAAAUAAAUAUGAUAACCCACUAACUCUAAAUCUUUCCAAGUCUCCAAUCGAGCCUCAAUUUCUCAUUCCUUUCCAGACUCCAAUCUCUCCCGUUGCAAUUCAAAAAUUAUCUUACAAGUUAUUUCCAUAUUCUAUCUCUGAGUUUCGACACCACAAUUUGACUAUUGCUCUGCCAGAAAUUGCUGCAGCCUCUAUGAAUCGUAGCUUUCCAUCCUCUAGUGUCUAAAUCUUAUAUUAAUUAUCUAUGGGAAUAUAGUGUCACUUUGUAAUUCAUGAUUUGUAAUUUGUAGUUUGCUAAACUUUUGUAAUUUGUAACUUUUAUUCUUUGAAUUGAAUCUAAUAUGUUAAACCUUUGUAAUUUUUGUUCCUGUCUUUCUCUUUCUUGAAUUGUGG